rnacentral:snRNA from 1 species
AGUAUUCACGUAGGCAGCUCAUUACUAAAACUGGAAUGAUACAGAGAAGAUGAGCAUGACCCCUGCACAAGGAUGACACACAAAUUCAUGAAGCAUUCCUUAUUUAA